GUUACAUGAGCAAAGUGAGAUAGAAAUAGAGUUCCAAGGGGCGUAACUAAAAAUAAGUCUUUUUUUAAUUACUUGAAUUACAAACUUCCAACAUAUGUUAAGAAAAUGUUCAUUGAUAUUGAACUAUUGUGCAAUUAUCUCGCUUAUGACGAGAUUUUAGUAUUGUUCCUCAUCAGAAUCGUGGUAGUGAUUGUUUUAUCAAUUUCUUUUAUGUUUUGAUUCAAUUUUUUACAGGGUUAAUUAGUUUGAAAGUGUCUACCAAAUCAAACUCCAAAAUUAAAAUAGGGUAAAUUUGUGCACCAAAUGAUGCGCAGGUAGAUUUUACACCUCAUAAAUUUUUAUGGGACGUUUUGAUAUAGGUGCCUUGUUUUUUAAUUUUUUAGACUAAACAUACACUCCUUUUAAAAAUUUGAUCAAACAUUUUCCUAAAAUUUUGGUUAUUGAUUUCAGUUUUUCACAUAAGUUCAACUUUGUAUAGAAUUUUAGUUUUUCACGAUUUCUCCUGGGCAUUUCUUUUUUUUUUCUUUACCUAUUAUCCCUAUAUUUAUGCAUUUAUUAUCCAUCUCUAUGCAUUUUUUUAUUGUUUGUUAUAAUUUUUAUUUUUUGUGUGAAUAUAGUAGAAUAUUUAUAAAAAAAAAUUGUCAGAUUUGAUUAUUUGAAAAGACCCAGCACAUAAAAAAGAUUUGUUUGAUUAUACAGCUACGUCUAGUUACCUAUAAUAUGAAUACAUUUAGUUUUAUAGUGGAUUUGAUUUUUUGUAUUUCUCGAUACAUUUGAAAUGUAAAUGUACUGAAAGGGUUAUUUGAUAGAGACAUUUGGUUUUGU
rnacentral:lncRNA from 1 species